CGUAACAAGGUCUCCGUAGGUGAACCUGCGGAGGGAUCAUUACAAGUGACCCCGGUCUAACCACCGGGAUGUUCAUAACCCUUUGUUGUCCGACUCUGUUGCCUCCGGGGCGACCCUGCCUUCGGGCGGGGGCUCCGGGUGGACACUUCAAACUCUUGCGUAACUUUGCAGUCUGAGUAAACUUAAUUAAUAAAUUAAAACUUUUAACAACGGAUCUCUUGGUUCUGGCAUCGAUGAAGAACGCAGCGAAAUGCGAUAAGUAAUGUGAAUUGCAGAAUUCAGUGAAUCAUCGAAUCUUUGAACGCACAUUGCGCCCCCUGGUAUUCCGGGGGGCAUGCCUGUUCGAGCGUCAUUUCACCACUCAAGCCUCGCUUGGUAUUGGGCAACGCGGUCCGCCGCGUGCCUCAAAUCGACCGGCUGGGUCUUCUGUCCCCUAAGCGUUGUGGAAACUAUUCGCUAAAGGGUGUUCGGGAGGCUACGCCGUAAAACAACCCCAUUUCUAAGGUUGACCUCGGAUCAGGUAGGGAUACCCGCUGAACUUAAGCAUAUCAAGCAAAAGAAACCAACAGGGAUUGCUCUAGUAACGGCGAGUGAAGCAGCAAUAGCUCAAAUUUGAAAUCUGGCGUCUUCGACGUCCGAGUUGUAAUUUGUAGAGGAUGCUUCUGAGUAACCACCGACCUAAGUUCCUUGGAACAGGACGUCAUAGAGGGUGAGAAUCCCGUAUGCGGUCGGAAAGGUGCUCUAUACGUAGCUCCUUCGACGAGUCGAGUUGUUUGGGAAUGCAGCUCUAAAUGGGAGGUAAAUUUCUUCUAAAGCUAAAUAUUGGCCAGAGACCGAUAGCGCACAAGUAGAGUGAUCGAAAGAUGAAAAGCACUUUGGAAAGAGAGUUAAAAAGCACGUGAAAUUGUUAAAAGGGAAGGGAUUGCAACCAGACUUGCUCGCGGUGUUCCGCCGGUCUUCUGACCGGUCUACUCGCCGCGUUGCAGGCCAGCAUCGUCUGGUGCCGCUGGAUAAGACUUGAGGAAUGUAGCUCCCUCGGGAGUGUUAUAGCCUCUUGUGAUGCAGCGAGCGCCGGGCGAGGUCCGCGCUUCGGCUAGGAUGCUGGCGUAAUGGUCGUAAUCCGCCCGUCU
rnacentral:rRNA from 1 species